rnacentral:rRNA from 1 species
UGGGGAAUAUUGGACAAUGGGCGAAAGCCUGAUCCAGCCAUGCCGCGUGUGUGAAGAAGGUCUUCGGAUUGUAAAGCACUUUAAGUUGGGAGGAAGGGCAGUAAGCGAAUACCUUGCUGUUUUGACGUUACCGACAGAAUAAGCACCGGCUAACUCUGUGCCAGCAGCCGCGGUAAUACAGAGGGUGCAAGCGUUAAUCGGAAUUACUGGGCGUAAAGCGCGCGUAGGUGGUUCGUUAAGUUGAAUGCGAAAGCCCCGGGCUCAACCUGGGAACUGCAUCCAAAACUGGCGAGCUAGAGUAGGGCAGAGGGUGGUGGAAUUUCCUGUGUAGCGGUGAAAUGCGUAGAUAUAGGAAGGAACACCAGUGGCGAAGGCGACCACCUGGGCUCAUACUGACACUGAGGUGCGAAAGCGUGGGGAGCAAACAGG